GUCCCCGUAGCUCAGUUGGAUAGAGUACCGGCCUCCGAAGCCGGGUGCGGCAGUUCGAGUCUGCCCGGGGACGCCA
rnacentral:tRNA from 1 species